rnacentral:misc_RNA from 1 species
CCACUGCGUAUCACAUUCAACAAAUUUAAGUGGCAUUCCAUGACUUUCCCUGCAUAGUUCUUCUGAAAUGCUUGAGCAAAGGCUCUACUUUCUGGAUUCUUAAGUUUCAAAUCUCCAAACCGGGUGUAAAGCCUAUUUAAAAUAUGGACAGUCCACUUCUUCACUUUCCACCACCCCCAGGAUUUCCUAAGUUCAGGAUCUGCAGGCUGGCCUUCCAAGG